GAUGAACGCUGGCGGCGUGCCUAAUACAUGCAAGUCGAGCGAACAGACGAGGAGCUUGCUCCUCUGACGUUAGCUGCGGACGGGUGAGUAACACGUGGAUAACCUACCUAUAAGACUGGGAUAACUCCGGGAAACCGGCGCUAAUACCGGAUAAUAUAUUGAACCGCAUGGUUAUAUAGUGAAAGACGGUUUUGCUGUCACUUAUAGUUGGACCCGCGCCGCAUUAGCUAGUUGGUAAGGUAACGGCUUACCAAGGCAACGAUGCGUAGCCGACCUGAGAGGGUGAUCGGCCACACUGGAACUGGGACACGGUCCAGACUCCUACGGGAGGCAGCAGUAGGGAAUCUUCCGCAAUGGGCGAAGGCCUGACGGAGCAACGCCGCGUGAGUGAUGAAGGUCUUCGGAUCGUAAAACUCUGUUAUUAGGGAAGAACAAAUGUGUAAGUAACUAUGCACAUCUUGACGGUACCUAAUCAGAAAGCCACGGCUAACUACGUG
rnacentral:rRNA from 1 species